AUUUUUUACAGGAAAGCUUGUGGGAGCUUCAUUAUUCACUCCAUUGGGAGAUAACAACAUGGAGCUAAGGAGGACUUGUACACUGACUUUUAUUGUUUUAGAUUCUGGUGACACAGAUUAGAUUGUACACAUUCCACAUAACCUGAGGCUUAAAUCCCCAUAAAGACAAUUAGUAUCACUUGAUAGUGAUUUAAACACAACACAUGUGUCUUGUACCCACUCCUGUCUGCCUAAUGAAGCAAAUAAAGUGUGCUAACAUGAGCAGCAGGCACGGUGAGACCUGAUUUCCCUUGGCCUUGUGCCUAAACCAUCAUACCCUCCCUUAUCUCUGAGGUGUCAGUGAGAAUGUUGUGAUGCUGCAAAUAUCCACUAAGGCGUAGAGAUAGAGACCAGCUAAGCUCAUCUUUCUGAAACAAAAAGCCUUUCAAAACGAAAUGCCAUUUUCAGAAAGCAUCACACAAAGGCAAGUGUCUGAGGUGAGAUCCUCUCCCCAGUGAGGUCUCUUGGAGCUCAGCCAUCAGCUUCAGUGGAGCCAGGAUGUCAUCCAUGGAGGUAUUUGUCUUAGAGGACUCAAACUUUAUGGGUCCCUUAAUGCCAAUCCUGAGAAAUGAGGUGGUGUGAGAUGUUUUGAUGACUCAUACUUCUUUUUUGGAUUAUCUGGGAAUAUCUGCUGGGUGUGUAGGGCUCCAGCAAGCCAAGUGAAGAACCAAACCACAGACUCCUCUGGGCAAAUAAUCUGCUGUAGCCAAACAAUGACUGUGCUAAAAGGAGCUAAAGGGCUCACAGCACUGUUUUAUAAUAUACAAGUUUUCCUAAAGAUAACAAUUUCUGCAACCCUGGUUUCACUUCAGGUACCUGUGUGUGAAUGGUAUCAACAACAGACCACCAGAGCACAACCUCAGGCAAGGAUUCCCAUGGUACAACUCACCUGUGGCAAACCACUGUGUUCCAGCACCAUUGCUUGUUUCAGUUCAAUACUAUUAACAGAGGGUCAAUAAUUAAAUUUCCCCUGUGAAAUGAAUGUGUGUGGCUAGAAAGAACAAGGAAAUGCAGCAAGUUCCAGAAUUGAAAGAAGACUGGUG
rnacentral:lncRNA from 1 species